AUGUUGUAACCUCUGUGCUACUCACCUUCACGUGAGCGAUGCUUCUCGAUCCUGUUCAUGUGGUUAAUCAGAUGAAAUCCGACGGUCGACCAGGUUGACUUGCUUAAAGUGCAUAAUCGCGUGUUAGGCGACUUCAAUGCAUUUUAGUCGGGUUAAUUUGGGCGGUUCCGCCACACAAUGCUUAAACUUGCUUUAUUUAUGCUAUACUUUUCAUUAAUACAAGAUCACCAUGCUUAAGUGGAACAUGGAGCGACCAUCCAGAAAAAUAAUACAACCUUAAAAACUACA
rnacentral:lncRNA from 1 species